UGGGCCGUCCUGAACACUACAUCAGUCUCU
rnacentral:piRNA from 1 species